rnacentral:lncRNA from 1 species
UCUGAAAUCCCUCUCUUCUCAAACUCUCUCGAAACCCUAACUUCUAUCAACAUCUUCAACCUCAAUUCCACUGGAAUCCAUGGACUCUCAAGCCAUGGAUGGCUUAAACUCAUCUCCAUGUGCUCUUAAUUACUUGGUAUUUGAAGGUUCGAGGUCUGACCUCUAUGGUGUCUGUUUAGAUCUUUGUCGAUUCAAGGUUUUAUGGCCAUCUCCGGCCCAACUAUGGCACAAUAUGGUGUUUUGAGCUUGGUUCUGACAUAUCUGAGUCAGAUUAGACCUUUUCCAAGCCUUUCUCAUUCUAGGGUUCUCCUGAACCCUAACUAUUCAAGGUUUCUCCAAUUUUUUCUUUAAUCUAUUACAUAUCUAUGCUUUACUUGGG